AACGAACGUUAGCGGCGCGCCUAAGACAUGCAAGUCGAGCGAGAAAGGGCUUCGGCCCCAGUAAAGCGGCGCACGGGUGAGUAACACGUAGGUCAUCAACCCUCGAGUGGUGGACAACUC
rnacentral:rRNA from 1 species